rnacentral:rRNA from 1 species
UACGUAGGCAGCGAGCGUUUGUUCGGAAUUACUGGGCGUAAAGAGUGUGUAGGCGGUGCUCUAAGUUUGGUGUGAAAUCUCCCGGCUCAACUGGGAGGGUGCGCCGAAUACUGAAUGACUUCGAGUGCGGGAGAGGAGAGUGGAAUUCCUGGUGUAGCGGUGAAAUGCGUAGAUAUCAGGAGGAACACCGGUGGUGUAGACGGCUCUCUGGACCGUAACUGACGCUGAGACACGAAAGCGUGGGUAGCAAACAGG